rnacentral:rRNA from 1 species
AUUGAACGCUGGCGGCAGGCUUAACACAUGCAAGUCGAACGAGUGGCGGACGGGAGAGUAAUGCUUGGGAAUCUAGCUUAUGGAGGGGGAUAACUACGGGAAACUGUAGCUAAUACCGCGUACAAUAGGAUGAGCCCAAGUGGGAUUAGGUAGUUGGUGAGGUAACGGCUCACCAAGCCGACGAUCCCUAGCUGGUCUGAGAGGAUGACCAGCCACACUGGAACUGAGACACGGCCCAGACUCCUACGGGAGGCAGCAGUGGUGAAUAUUGCGCAAUGGGGGCAACCUGACGCAGCCAUUCCGCGUGAAUGAAGAAGGCCUUCGGGUUGUAAAGUUCUUUCGGUAGCGAGGCGUUACCUACAGAAGAAGCACCGGCUAACUCCGUGCCAGCAGCCGCGGUAAUAC